AUGGAGGUCGCCAUUAAAAAUGUGAUGCCGCAGACAGCACACCGUUGGUGCAAGUGGCAUGUGCUGAAGAAGGCAAAAGAAUCACUUGGAUCGCUGUACUCGAAGAAGAGCGAGUUUAGGGCAGAAUUUCACAAGGUAGUAAAUCACAUGCUUACAGUCGAUGAAUUCGAGGAAGCUUGGAAGAGCUUGGUGGAGAAAUAUAAUUUGAAGACACAUGACUACAUGAGGCAGUUGUAUGACAUAAGACACAAGUGGGCAAAGCCUUAUUUUAAAGGAGUUUUUUGUGCUAAGAUGAGCAGUACCCAGCGCAGUGAAAGUGCAAACCACAUGUUGAAGAACUAUGUACCGCCUGGUUGUCCCAUGCAUAUGUUUGUGAAGAAAUACAUGAGACUACAAUCUGAUAGGGAAGCCGAGGAGAACUACGAGGAGAAGCGGACACGGAUAGGUAGACCGCUGUACAGAGCAAACUUAGCUAUAGAGAGGCAUGCUGGUAAGAUAUACACACGAGCUAUGUUCGAGCAGUUUGGACAUAUUCUUUAUGAGUGCGGCGCAUACCAAGUGGAGGAGCGGGAGAAAGGAAAAUUGUAUCUUGCCAUUCAUACCGAUGCUGCUAGGAGGGAGAAGUGGUGUAGGGUGUCAUAUAAGGUAGCUGUUCUUGAAGGAGGUGAUGAAUAUGACUGUGAGUGUGGGCAAUUUGCACACAUGGGGCUGCUUUGCAGCCAUGUUGUGAAGGUGCUGGAUUUCAUCCGUGUUACAGAGAUACCGCAAAAACACAUUGUGAAGCGAUGGACCAGGGACGCACGGGACAUACUGCCAGCUCACCUUACUCAAUAUCAGAGGGAUAAUGCUCACAACAAACCUUUCAGCUUCAGGCAUUUCAAUAUGUAUAUGCAUGCCAUGGAGUUGGUUCGAAUGGGCGAUGCAAGCGUGGAAGCAUAUGACAAAUUCAUGACUCUCAUCAAGGAUUUCCUGGUCCAAAUGGAACCAUUCUCGGAAAUAAGGGAUGGGCUCGGACUGGAGGACAGGAUUGGUCAGCAUGGAGAUGGUGCUAAUGCAAGGGCAAAUGGUGAUGAGCUUGCUGCCCAUACGACAGUAGUUGCGGCAAGUGGAGGUGCAGGCUUCGGAAAUGUGAAUGAUGAUGCUACUUCUGCAAAUGAGAGUGGGAAUAGACUCAGUGGAUUGUUAGCGCCAAAGAAAAGGAAAGAGAUGGGGCGCCCGACAACUAGCCGUGAGAAGGCACCGUACGAGGGGCUCAGCAAGCGGACCAGGUUCUGUAGCAUAUGUCAGCAGCAAGGGCACAAGAGGACUACUUGCCCGGACCGGGGUGAUGCACCAAAGCCUGUUCGGAAACCAGCAAGGUGCAAAAAUUGUGGAGUUGAAGGUCAUAGGCAAAACAACUGCAACAAAGUCGGUGAUCUGCGGGUCAUAGGCGUGUGA
rnacentral:rRNA from 1 species